rnacentral:lncRNA from 1 species
AUUGGUUGAAAUGGAGAGGUUUUCUGAGAGAGAGAGUGUUCUGUUAGGUUAUAAUUUCCAAAGACCUUUUAUAAACCAUCCAGGUUCUUCUCCAGAGAGCCAGUAUGGAAACUCAGAUAUUGAUUUUACCGAUGUUUUCGGUGGCCCACCGAGGCGAUCGUCACUUCAGGAGGUGCGGUAUAGUUUUUCUGAAACGACAGAUUCAUUUGCAUCGACAAGUGGUGAUGUUGAUACCAAGUUGUCUCGCCACAGUUUGUCUGGUCUAAAUGACAAGCCAGUGUUUGGAGAUGAAAAUGUCAAUAGAAGGCGAUAUCCAGACGACGGUUUCUUUGGUGAUAUUUUUAGAGGCAGCGAAUCUUUGAGUUCUUCUCCGAGGAAGCAUGACCGUGAUUCACUUUCUUCGACUCCAGGUUCAACAGUCUUAAGCCCUGCUGAAUUGCUGCCACAUAGAGUUGAUCCCUGGAGUCCAUCACUGCCUGCACAAUUCAGGUUUGGCUUCAUUCCGAGAUGCUAUUUGCUCUAUUCCUGUACGAUUUAGAUCUUAUGAUUUAUAUUUUUUUUUCAUCAGUUGACAUAAAUCACCGAUUGGGAAUACUUUUAUACCCAUAAGAGUUGAUGAUAUGUCUUUUCUAAGGUUGUUUCAAAUGUUUUUCGGUAUUAAUGUGGUGUGUGGUAGUGGUUAUUGAUUACUUAUCUUGCAGUUGUUCUUAUCUGCACAAUUAUCUGCUUGGGUUUUGGUGUCUUUUGAACAAAUGCAUCCCAAGAGCUCAAAUAUUGUACUGAUAAUUUUGCAGCCUCCCUGCCAAACUGAUUAAAGGGACAGACUUGCCAGCAUUUGUUUCUAGUGUCCGUGGCCAACACAAAAAUAAAGACGGGGCUUCAAAUGGCAUCAGCAAUUAUACAUAUUCUCCUUUGUCUGGAUCUGCAAGCCCAACGAACCUCGUUAGAGACGAGUUGACUAAUGAUGUCUCUCGGCAGAGCGCUUUAUCCAAGGAGCCAUCUCUUAGCAUUGAGGAGUCAUCAAACGUGACCAAACCUGAAGAAACAGAUAAAAGCAGAAAUUUGAAAAGGGAUUCAGAUGGUUCUGAAAUUCCGACAAACAGAAACCAAUUUCAUUUUUCUAUUUACAAGUGGGCAACCAAAGGAUUACCUUUUGCGAUGCCUCUUAGAGGAGCUAACAAAUCAAGGCUGAAUGAGAAGUGUAAACUUCAGAGAUGUUCAAGUACUAAUGGAUGGACAGCAUGCGAGGGUAUAGCAAGAGAAUUACGUUCAGCAACUCCACAUGAUAAUGAUAUUCCCGCAUUCAAUGGUCGAAUGGAGCUUGACAAACAAGAUGAUCACUUCCUCUUCGACACAAGCAUUCAGGGUGAAGUAAAAGCGUGUCAAAUUCUUGAGGACACAAGUUUCCCUAUAUCUGAGUUGGAUACUCCAAGCAAU